rnacentral:rRNA from 1 species
AUUGAACGCUGGCGGCAGGCCUAACACAUGCAAGUCGAACGAGAGGAGGACGGGAGAGUAAGGUGUGGGAAACUGCCUGAUGGAGGGGGAUAAAUACUGGAAACGGAAGCUACUACCGCAAACCAUCGGAAGUGCCCAGAUGGGAUUAGCUAGUAGGUGGGGUAAAGGCUCACCUAGGAGACGAUCCCUAGCUGGUCUGAGAGGAUGACCAGCCACACUGGAACUGAUACACGGUCCAGACUCCUACGGGAGGCAGCAGUGGGGAAUCUUGCACAAUGGGCGCAAUCCUGAUGCAGCCAUGCCGCGUGUAUGAAGAAGGCCUUCGGGUUGUAAAGUACUUUCAGCGGGGAGGCGUUACCCGCAGAAGAAGCACCGGCUAACUCCGUGCCAGCAGCCGCGGUAAUUC